rnacentral:rRNA from 1 species
UACGUAGGGUGCAAGCGUUGUCCGGAAUUAUUGGGCGUAAAGAGCUUGUAGGCGGUCUGUCGCGUCUGCUGUGAAAAUCCGGGGCUCAACCCCGGACUUGCAGUGGGUGACGGGCAGACUAGAGUGUGGUAGGGGAGACUGGAAUUCCUGGUGUAGCGGUGAAAUGCGCAGAUAUCAGGAGGAACACCGAUGGCGAAGGCAGGUCUCUGGGCCACUACUGACGCUGAGAAGCGAAAGCAUGGGGAGCGAACAGG